AGUUAAAUUAACUUCAGAAAUAACCUCGACGGCGGAAGCCGCCUCCGAGGUUCCCGGCGCAAUCAAGACGACCAUCAAUAUUGGCAUUGCGAUGAACCACGUUAACGACCAGGAAAACCUUAAACAGCUCAACCUGGCACCAGUUCAGGUCAAUGAAGUCGAAGAAAUGGAUACACAAGAAGGAGAAACACCAAAUGAUGGUGGAGGAGAUGGUAAUGACACUAGUCCUAUGAAUGGAGAAUCAGAAUUAGCUUGUAUAGUUCAAGAUCAAGAGAUGGAAGAAGAUGAAGCAAGAUCAGAAGCAACAUUUCGCUAUACAGUAGAAAAUCUUUCUAAAAUGAAAGAAACUCAGUUGUCCCCAGCAUGUUACGUUCGUAAUUUGCCAUGGAAGAUAAUGGUAAUGCCAAGAACAAGUCAGACACAAGAUAGAGGUCCUCAGAAAUCACUUGGUUUUUUCCUGCAAUGUAAUGGAGAAAGUGAAUCAUCAUGGAGUUGUUAUGCAGUUGCAGAUCUUCGAUUACUCUCUUGUAAAGAAGGACAGGAUCCGUUUAGUAGAAAGAUUCAACAUCUCUUUUAUAGUAAAGAAAAUGAUUGGGGAUUUAGUCACUUUAUGACAUGGCUGGAUGUUCUGGAUCCUGAUAAAGGUUUUAUUAAAGAUGAUUCUAUUACACUUGAGGUUCAUGUCAUGGCUGAUGCACCACAUGGUGUUAGUUGGGAUAGUAAAAAGCAUACAGGAUUUGUAGGUCUAAAAAAUCAAGGUGCUACCUGUUAUAUGAAUUCUUUGCUUCAGACUUUGUAUUUUACCAAUCAGUUACGUAAAGCAGUCUAUAAAAUGCCAACUGAAAGUGAUGAUUCUAGUAAAAGUGUUGCUUUGGCUUUACAAAGGGUAUUUCAUGAAUUACAGUUCUCUGAUAAACCAGUAGGUACAAAAAAAUUAACUAAAAGUUUUGGUUGGGAAACAUUGGAUUCUUUUAUGCAACAUGAUGUGCAAGAAUUUUUACGAGUGCUUUUAGAUAAGUUGGAAAGUAAAAUGAAAGGUACAUGUGUAGAAGGUACAGUGCCAAAAUUAUUUGAAGGAAAAAUGGUGUCAUUUAUCAAAUGUAAAAAUAUUGAUUAUAAAUCAACCAGAGUUGAAACUUUCUAUGAUAUACAAUUAAAUAUAAAAGGAAAGAAAAAUAUUUAUGAAUCGUUUAAUGAUUAUGUGAGUACUGAAAGUCUGGAUGGUGAUAAUAAGUAUGACGCGGGAGAAAAUGGAUUACAAGAGGCAGAAAAAGGUGUUAUCUUUUCAUCAUUUCCACCAGUGCUGCAUUUACAUUUAAUGCGAUUUCAAUAUGAUCCAGUUACAGAUUGUUCUGUAAAAUUUAAUGAUAGGUUUGAAUUUUAUGAAAAAAUAAGUCUUGGAAAAUAUUUACAAAAUAAAGAGGCAACAAGUGCAGAUUAUACAUUGCAUGCAGUCUUAGUUCACAGUGGGGAUAAUCAUGGUGGACAUUAUGUUGUAUUUAUCAAUCCAGCCGGUGAUGGAAAAUGGUGCAAAUUUGACGAUGACGUCGUCUCAAGGUGUACGAAACAAGAAGCUAUUGAACAUAAUUAUGGUGGUCAAGAUGAGGAUAUGUCUAUAGCUGUGAAACAUUGUACGAAUGCCUAUAUGUUGGUGUACAUAAGGGACUCUGAGUUGGAAAAUGUAUUACAAGAAGUCAAGGAAGAGGAUAUACCUCAAGAGCUGGUGGAGAGGCUGCAAGAGGAGAAGAGGCUGGAACAAAUACGAAGAAAGGAAAGAACAGAAGCAUACUUGUAUAUAACCGUCAACGUCCUUCUUGAGGAUAAUUUUGACGGUCACCAAGGGAAUGACUUGUAUGAUCCAGAGCAUGCUUUGUAUCGUGUAUUUCGCGUACGUAAGCAGUGUACCUUGCACGAGUUUCUCGAAUUGCUGAGUGAUAGCUUGAAAUAUCCAAUAGAACAAAUUCGUUUAUGGCCAUUGAACGUACGUUCAAACCAGACUUGUAGACCGAUGCCAAUUGAAUUGGAAAAUGACCUUCAAAAAUCUAUAUAUCAAUGCGCGGAAAAUCCAAAUGUUUGGAAUGUAUUUGUUGAACUUGUUCCUCCAGAUUCUGAUUUAGCAGCAUUGCCACCUUUUGAUAAAGAUACUGAUGUUCUACUCUUUUUUAAACUGUAUGAUCCUAAAAAUAAGAAGAUUCAUUACUGUGGACAUCACUAUAUGCCUGUCGUAGCUAAAGUCCAGGAACUCAUACCAAUCUUAAAUGAAAGAGCUGGUUUUCCGGCAGAUACAGAACUAGCUCUUUAUGAAGAAAUCAAACCAAACUUAGUAGAGAAAAUAGAUAAUUUAACAGAACCAUUAGAAAAAGUUCUUGAGGAAUUAAUGGAUGGAGAUAUAAUUGUUUUUCAAAAAGAAGGAGACAAUCAAAUGUAUGAGCUUCCAACAUGUAGAGAAUACUUCAAGGACCUAUUUUAUAGAGUAGAAGUUACAUUUUGUGAUAAAACAAUUCCUAAUGAUCCUGGUUUUACAAUGGAACUUUCAUUGAGAAUGACAUAUGACCAAAUGGCAAGAGCUGUGGCACAAAGACUUGGUACAGAUCCUUAUCUUCUGCAAUUCUUUAAAUGUCAAACUUAUAAAGAUUCACCUGGACAUCCACUAAAAUGUACAUUUGAAGGUUCAUUAAAAGAUUUGGUUUCUUACUGCAAACCUAAAGCAAAGAAGUUAUAUUAUCAGCAGCUUAGUAUUAGAGUAAACGAGCUUGAAAACAAAAAGCAAUUCAAAUGUAUAUGGGUUGGUCCAUCCCUUAAAGAAGAGAAAGAAAUUAUUCUUUAUCCUAAUAAAAAUGGAACAGUAGCAACAUUACUGGAAGAAGCUAAAAAACAAGUAGAAUUGUCAGAAAAUGGAUCUGGGAAAUUAAGGAUAUUAGAAAUUAACUCUAGUAAACUUUCACCUGGCCCAAGAGAAGAUGUACCUUUAGAUAAUUUAAAUACAUCUGGCACGAAAUUAUACAGGAUAGAAGAAAUUCCAAAUGACGAAUUAAUUUUGGCAGAAGAUGAAAUGUUGGUUCCUGUUGCACAUUUCCACAAGGAUAUUUUUUCAACAUUUGGUAUUCCCUUUUUCUUUAAAAUCAAACAUGGUGAACCUUUUCCGAAAAUGAAGGAAAGACUAUUGAAGAAACUUGGAGUACAGGAAAAAGAAUUUGAGAAGUUUAAGUUCGCGGUGGUGACAAUGGGUAAACCACACUUUAUUAUGGACUCACCAGAAUACUAUAUGGAUCUGGGAGAUUUCCGUAUUCAUCCAAAUCAAAUUUAUCCACUUUUAAACGCAGGCACAUCGCCACUUAGGCCUUGGCUUGGCCUAGAACACGUCAACAAAGCGCCAAAGCGCUCUCGUAUCAACUACCUCGAAAAGGCCAUUAAAAUUUACAAUUAAAUUUUCAUCACACGAAGAAGAAUAAAAUUAGGCAGCCACUCAUAUAAUUUAUACGACUCUAUAAUAAGAAAGCGACGUCUGACACACGAUGGUUGGAAAUGCGUUUAUGUAUUCGGUUCUUCUGCCAGAUAGUGCGCGGUUUUAAUAUUAUGAUCAUGUUAACGAAAGGGAUUUUACGUAAUGGCUGGAUCGAUGGUACUACGUUGAUCCUACUAUGCUCCAACAACGGAUUAGACACUUCUAUCUGUGAAAUCUUCUAUUAGUAUUUGUAAAUAUUUUGCUGCUUAAUGGCAGUUAUUUAACAAAUAUUUUUGAAAGCAGUGUUUUUAAUGCAUUCGAGUUUGUCAAGAGCAAGAAUUUAUUUAAAUGCAUAUUUUAUCACUAAGUAAAGAAAUAUGGAUUGCAACUACAGAAUGGAGAAAGUGUCAGGAAACAAAAAGGUAUUUAUAAAUAUAGCAUAUUAUUUCUGCAGCAAAGUACAAUUUUUCUUGAAAUUUUAAUUAUUUGAUCCUGCCACGUAAAAUCUUUGUUACUGAAUAUAACGAGAUCCAAAAAAGAGACUAUGUACUGUUCUACGUGAUAUAAUACUUAACGCCCAUUAUCAAAAGAGAAUUAUCUACAUACUCCUGUUUUGUAUUAUAUUCAGGAUGUUUGAAACGCUGACUUACAGUUACCUUGUAAUCUUACAUUCUGCACAUUUCUUUGCAAAAUAAUAAACAUGAACAUUU
rnacentral:misc_RNA from 1 species